rnacentral:rRNA from 1 species
UACGGAGGGUGCAAGCGUUAUCCGGAUUUACUGGGUUUAAAGGGUGCGCAGGCGGAUAUGUAAGUCAGUGGUGAAAUCUCCGGGCUUAACCCGGAACUGCCGUUGAUACUAUAUAUCUUGAAUGCUGUGGAGGUAAGCAGAAUAUGUCAUGUAGCGGUGAAAUGCUUAGAGAUGACAUAGAAUACCUAUUGCGAAGGCAGCUUACUACGCAGAUAUUGACGCUCAUGCACGAAAGCGUGGGGAGCGAACAGG